CGUUCAUUUUUUUCAUGUUGUUAUCUUUGCUGUUGAAACUUGACCAAAACCAAGAGAAAAACAAAUUCCAUUCUCCUUUGAAGAUACUACUGAUCGUUCCCUGGAUUGUACUUUGCCGGUUCUUAAACGACAGUUGAGAGUACGGAGAGAAGUAGCAAUAGUAAACCGGACAGAGCUUACGACAGGCUUUAUCGCUUGGAAAGUUAGUAUUUUGUUAUAUUUUGAUGUGUAUAUCAUGGGACUAUCUGGGGUAGUUGUUUGUCGACAGUAACUUACCUUUUUGUCGCAUUUCGGCGUCUAUGUGUAUUUAUGAUAUAGUACGGUACAAGGUCUGACUUUGGAUGUUUACUUUGACUGCAUACAUAGCUAUCUUUUACUGGCAGGUCUUAAAAUCUUGUAUCACUAUAUGUGGAAUUUUUACUUUGUAAAUCUAAUACCAAGUUGCAUUUGCUAGCUAUAGGAUUAUUAAAAUGGAUGUCAAUUGAUCUAGUUUUAGGACUGUUUGUUUAAUCUUGUUUUCAACUAGUACUUAAGUGUACUGUACGUAAUAUUCUAUAUUCUUUUCCUUAUUUUGUUUUAAUGGCUCAUUUUCUCUUUAAGCUAAAACCCCCAAGUAGUUGAGAGAAUGUGCUGGUGGCAUCCUAAAAUUUGGUGAGUUUCUUUUUUUUUUAACUCUUCUUUGGCUGAGAAAGUUAGUUUUUAUGCUGGGUUCUUAUAAUACUGGGGUUGGACUAAGUUUGGAAUUUUAUCAAGUCCAUAUUAAGUUUGAAAUUUUUGAGGAGUACUGUUGCCUAAUUUUUAAAAAACAACUUGGUACUUAAAUUUCACUUCGUGUACUAAAUGAAUGUGUCUUCCUUUUCUUACGACAAAUGAUUAUUUACAUGUAAAUUUUUUCGUUUUCAUUCGUA